UACGAAGGGGGCUAGCGUUGUUCGGAAUCACUGGGCGUAAAGGGCGCGUAGGCGGCCGAUCAAGUCGGGGGUGAAAGCCUGUGGCUCAACCACAGAAUUGCCUUCGAUACUGUUUGGCUUGAGACCGGAAGAGGUAAGUGGAACUGCGAGUGUAGAGGUGAAAUUCGUAGAUAUUCGCAAGAACACCAGGGGCGAAGGCGGCUUACUGGUCCGGUUCUGACGCUGAGGCGCGAAAGCGUGGGGAGCAAACAGG
rnacentral:rRNA from 1 species